CGGCAGCCAGUGUAGCCGACUGUACUCUUUUCUCCAUGGGGCCCAGUGUGCGAUGGCUGCACACGGCAGCCUCAGAAGGGUAUGCAGCCUGAUGGCCUGCUCCAGUUGCCCUAAGGGGCCUGGAGACAGCC
ensembl:snoRNA SNORA70 Small nucleolar RNA SNORA70